rnacentral:ncRNA from 1 species
UCUCAAGCAUAAUAAGGGCAUCUGGUGGAUGCCUUGGCGUCAAGAGGCGAUGAAAGACGUGGCACUCUGCGAUAAGCUACGGUGAGCCGAGAGCAGGCUUUGACCCGUAGAUUUCUGAAUGGGGAAACCCCACCCAAUAGGGUGAUCAUAUCGUGAAUACAUAGCGGUAUGAGGCGAACCCGGAGAACUGAAACAUCUCAGUACCCGGAGGAAAGGACAUCAACCGAGACUCCGUAAGUAGCGGCGAGCGAACGCGGACCAGGCCAGUGGCCUAUGAUUAAGAACCGGAACGAUCUGGAAAGGUCGGCCAUAGUGGGUGAUAGCCCCGUACGGGUAGAAAGAUCAUAGGUCCUCGAGUAGGGCGGGACACGUGAAAUCCUGUCUGAACAUGGGGGGACCACCCUCCAAGCCUAAGUACUCCUUGACGACCGAUAGUGUACCAGUACCGUGAGGGAAAGGUGAAAAGCACCCCGAUAAGGGGAGUGAAAUAGUUCCUGAAACCGGAUGCCUACAAGCAGUUGGAGCCUCUAUAUGGGGUGACAGCGUACCUCUUGCAUAAUGGGUCAGCGAGUUAGUCUUACAAGCGAGCUUAAGCCGUUAGGUGUAGGCGCAGCGAAAGCGAGUCUGAAUAGGGCGAUUGAGUUUGUGGGAUUAGACCCGAAACCAGGUGAUCUAGCCAUGAGCAGGUUGAAGGUGAUGUAACAGUCACUGGAGGACCGAACCCACGUCUGUUGAAAAAGACGGGGAUGACUUGUGGUUAGGGGUGAAAGGCCAAUCAAACCUGGAGAUAGCUGGUUCUCCGCGAAAUCUAUUUAGGUAGAGCGUCAGACGAAUACCUUCGGGGGUAGAGCACUGAAUGGGCUAGGGGGCCUUACCGGCUUACCAAACCUAAUCAAACUCCGAAUACCGAAGAGUACUAUCUGGCAGACAGACUACGGGUGCUAAGGUCCGUGGUCGAGAGGGAAACAGCCCAGACCGCCAGUUAAGGUCCCAAAGUUGUGGCUAAGUGGGAAAGGAUGUAGGACGGCCAAGACAACCAGGACGUUGGCUUAGAAGCAGCCAUCGUUUAAAGAAAGCGUAACAGCUCACUGGUCUAAAUAAGCUGUCCCGCGCCGAAGAUGUACCGGGGCUCAAGCCACACACCGAAACUGCGGAUUUGUUC